rnacentral:pre_miRNA from 1 species
UUGGUUAGCGUGUUUUUUCAAACCCUUUACCCCUUUUUCUUAUUAGGAUUACUCUCCUUUUAAGAAAAAGGGGUAAAGGGUUUGAAAAAACACGCUAACCAA